rnacentral:rRNA from 1 species
AGUCGAGAAUCUUCGGCAAUGGGCGCAAGCCUGACCGAGCGACGCCGCGUGCGGGAUGAAGGCCUUCGGGUUGUAAACCGCUGUCAGAGGGGAUGAAAUGCAGGUGGGUUCUCCCAUCUGUUUGACAUAGCCUCAGAGGAAGGACGGGCUAAGUUCGUGCCAGCAGCCGCGGUAAGACGAACCGUCCAAACGUUAUUCGGAAUUACUGGGCUUAAAGGGUGCGUAGGCGGCGCGGAAAGUUGGGUGUGAAAUCCCUCGGCUCAACCGAGGAACUGCGCUCAAUACUGCCGUGCUCGAGGGAGAUAGAGGUGAGCGGAACUUAGGGUGGAGCGGUGAAAUGCGUUGAUAUCCUAAGGAACACCGGUGGCGAAAGCGGCUCACUGGAUCUCUUCUGACGCUGAGGCACGAAAGCUAGGGUAGCAAA